AAAAUAAUAUAUAUAUAUUAAAAAACUUCAUUCAUUCUUUUUUAUAAAUCAAUAAAUGAAUUACAGAUAAGAUUGAUUGUUUAAUCUUAAAAUUAAUUUUUGUUAAUUUAAAAAACAAUAGUCUAAGAACUGUUCAUGUUUAAUUCUUUGGAGGAAACAACCCUACAGUACUUAAUUUACCCAGGAGCACACUACCUGUAGUUGUAAAAAGACUGAAGGCCAGACUUAGGCAGGAUGAUUGAACAAAAUCUGCUUGCAGAUGGACUAUUGAGGCAAAAUAUUUGGACUCUCAGCAGGUGAACAGAUGCUGAGCAAGAAAUUCUCACAUCAAAUGCUGUAGAUUACACUGAUAUACCCCCCCCCCCCCCCCAAAGAAAAAAAGAACAGAGAGACCAAUCAUUAACAGCUUGAGACUUAGUGCACAUAACCUUGCCACAGAAAGGGGAUCGAGAGAUUUGCCUAUAAACACUCCCUAAUGAAAGAUUUUGUAAAUUAUUUGUAACACAGGAGAGAUUUAAGAUGGUUUUUAUUUUCAAUUCAGCUGCCAAAAAUACAAUAAUUAUAAGAUAACUUUUGAAAGGAAGUUGAUGUAUUUUUUUCUUGAAAGGAAAAGUAUCAAAUUUGUCUCAUAUACCUUUGAUAGUCAUGCCCAGAAA